AACACUAAAAUGAAGCAGAUGAUAGCAUUAGCUCGAUACAUUUAUGGUAGCCAUAGUUUUAAAUAUAGAAACCUAACAGCUGGCACUGACAAAUGCAAUAAUUGCCCAGUAUAGGAAUUUUGUCAUUUUUUCAGAGACCUCAAGCUACUGUUGAAGGGACAGAUGCUUCUUAAGUACGCUUCCGAUUCUCGACUGGCAUAAUGUACAUGUGGAGGUGAUUUACCUCUGCUCACUGUUGCAUUCUGCAGCUCCUUCAAAUGGGAGAUGCUUGGGAAAGAACAGCAAUUAUUUUCUUGUUCUGAUUAAGAGAGAGAGGGAGGUUCCUCAAAGGCUAUUGUGACACAAAGAAAUGGUCCCUGGCACAGACGGGAAGGAAGAGUAAGACGCUGCUCCCGAGGAGCCUGGGCAAAUGCAUCUCAGCUCUAUCCUGUUCAAACUGCAUUGCUUGAAAACCUUUGGGUAUUGUGAAACUUUCCAUUAAACUCUGUGGUUGCCCCAAGCUUAAAUUUUAAUCUAACUGCUGUAGAUAGAUGUAUCUUGUAGAUGUUACUUUCAGAAAACAUUAAGUGUAAAUCCUGAGAAACGCCAUGAACUUCAGUGGCAUUAAUAUAGCUUUUAUACCAGUUCUCUUUAGAUUAGACGCUGGCAUCAGCAUCGGCUCUUACCCUCCCAGUUACUCGACUGAGUUGAAUUUUACUUGGAGUACACCAUGUCAAUUAAGCAGCAAGCUUCUUCUAAGCCAGUACAAGUAAAGUCAUUCUGUAAUACACAUAUAUUACGGUUCAGAAAAAAUAUACUGUACAAGUGUAUACUGAUGAUUAGUUGCAGUACCAAGUUCUUUAAAACAAGCUGCCUUUUUUUACUUAAUAAUUUUUACUACAAUGAACCUGGUAUAAAUUAGUAUUAAUACCUUUACAUCUUUUUAAUGUAAUAUUAAACAAUAUUCCUGAUUUAUUCAUCAGUGCACUUUGCCCUACAGGCAAGGAUAGAAUCAGCAGUUUUAUUCUGCAUAAUUCUACCAUGAUAAUACAAAAAACUCAUUCUGAAGCAAUUUUCUCAAAAAUAUUGUCUAGAAAUAAAGACAAUGGGGAAAAAGAAAGCAGUGUGUUUAUCCUAUAUGACUGCUGCCUUAAUGUUAAGUUUUUUCCUGUGGCAAAUCAGAAAUAUUAUUCUAUUUCUCUUUGAAGACCUGCAACUCAGGAGUAUGUAAUCUGUCAAUGUGCAAGAGCGAUGUAAAAAAAUAAACCAUGAUUUGAUAGAAA